GGGGAAUAUUGCACAAUGGGGGAAACCCUGAUGCAGCGACGCCGCGUGGAGGAAGAAGGUCUUCGGAUUGUAAACUCCUGUUGUUGAGGAAGAUAAUGACGGUACUCAACAAGGAAGUGACGGCUAACUACGUGCCAGCAGCCGCGGUAAAACGUAGGUCACAAGCGUUGUCCGGAAUUACUGGGUGUAAAGGGAGCGCAGGCGGGAGAACAAGUUGGAAGUGAAAUCCAUGGGCUCAACCCAUGAACUGCUUUCAAAACUGUUUUUCUUGAGUAGUGCAGAGGUAGGCGGAAUUCCCGGUGUAGCGGUGGAAUGCGUAGAUAUUAGGAAGAACACCAGUGGCGAAGGCGGCCUACUGGGCACCAACUGACGCUGAGGCUCGAAAGUGUGGGUAGCAAACAGGAUUAGAUACCCUGGUAGUCCACACCGUAAACGAUGAUUACUAGGUGUUGGAGGAUUGACCCCUUCAGUGCCGCAGUUAACACAAUAAGUAAUCCACCUGGGGAGUACGACCGCAAGGUUGAAGCUCAAAGGAAUUGACGGGGGCCCGCACAAGCAGUGGAGUAUGUGGUUUAAUUCGACGCAACGCGAAGAACCUUACCAGGUCUUGACAUCCCCUUGACGAUGCUGGAAACAGCAUUUCUCUUCCGGAGCAAGGAGACAGGUGGUGCAUGGUUGUCGUCAGCUCGUGUCGUGAGAUGUUGGGUUAAGUCCCGCAACGAGCGCAACCCUUAUGGUCAGUUACUACGCAAGAGGACUCUGGCCAGACUGCCGUUGACAAAACGGAGGAAGGUGGGGAUGACGUCAAAUCAUCAUGCCCUUUAUGACUUGGGCUACACACGUACUACAAUGGCGUUAAACAAAGAGAAGCAAGACCGCGAGGUGGAGCAAAACUCAGAAACAACGUCCCAGUUCGGACUGCAGGCUGCAACUCGCCUGCACGAAGUCGGAAUUGCUAGUAAUCGUGGAUCAGCAUGCCACGGUGAAUACGUUCCCG
rnacentral:rRNA from 1 species